CAUUGAGAAUAUUUAUAUGAAAUUCACAGAAGAAAUUAAGAAUAUAUAUAAAAUGUGCGAAGAAAAUAAUAAAUUGGACAACGUUUGUGGAAUUACUUUACUACCAUGGACUACGAUGUUUUUAACAUUUUCGGCAACCAUAAUAACGUGCUUCUUUAUAAUCGAUCCAAUAACAAGAGGAAUUUGUUAUGUCAUUCGACGCUGUUUCGGAUGUAUCAUAAUGUCAAAUUCGUAUAAUCAUACAGGCAAGUUCUCUCAAUCAAAAUCGGCUUCUGAUAAGUAUUACGUACUGUCUGAUGAUCUGUUCAAUUAAAAACUACCGCCUAAAUCAUGAACUUUUGAUCAAUGUUAUUUUAAACUGAUGCAGUACACUUAUUCACACAUUGUCAAGAUAUAUUGGAUAUUCUACGACAAAUAACUAGUUUAUAAGCAUAUUCUUUUGGUAGAUUUAUAAUGUAAUAAUAAAAAAACUUUUCCUUUUUGGAACCAAACCA